UUGAUUAUUAGAAGCUUACUCAGAGAUUCAAAAUAAACAGAGUUUAGUAUGUCCACCGGCGGGCUACAGGGUAGGUCGUUAUAGGAUAGCUACAGGGUAGCUUGGCCCGAGACACUACCUCACAGCUUGCGCCGAGGCAACAAAGAGAUAUGUUCACAAUGGUUUGGAGUUAGAUAACUCAGUAAUGAUCCCUCCGCUGGUUCACCAACGGAGA
rnacentral:misc_RNA from 1 species